UACGUAGGGGGCUAGCGUUGUCCGGAAUCAUUGGGCGUAAAGCGCGUGUAGGCGGCCCGGUAAGUCCGCUGUGAAAGUCGGGGGCUCAACCCUCGGAUGCCGGUGGAUACUGUCGGGCUAGAGUGCGGAAGAGGCGAGUGGAAUUCCCGGUGUAGCGGUGAAAUGCGCAGAUAUCGGGAGGAACACCGGUGGCGAAGGCGGGUCUCUGGGCCUUACCUGACGCUGAGGAGCGAAAGCGUGGGGAGCGAACAGG
rnacentral:rRNA from 1 species